CAUCUGUUUUAACAUUCACGCUCAUGGAAAUGAUGACUCCUAUCGGAAACGAAAAACAUAAAAAUGCUCCCAUACCAGAAUACAAAUGUUCUUCCUGAAGUAACUCUAAUUUUAUGGAUGGUCCUUGACUGAAUGAACUGAACAAAAUUGGGAAAAAUCUACAAUAAAGGCUCCGAUCUGCACCAGUCUAUAAGGCAUACUAGUCGAUUCUGUCGCCGUUUCCUUAAUAUGUACAUAGGUGCUCGCGGAAAUGCUGGGUAAGUGCUUUAACUGCCUGUCCUACAUAAGCUACAAGUGCACUUCCAAGAAUAUAUCCAAAAUUUGUAACGAUGAUAUCAUGUGCCAAGAAUCAGCCGUAAGACCUAGAUGAGGAUAGGUUCCUCCCUUUUGGAUCUCAUGUUGUCUUGCAAAAUACGUUGCCUCGUUACCUUUCUUGUCAUCUCAAUAUUCAAUAUUUCUGUUGUCCAUCCUAUUUCUAGCUCUAAGUUGAAAAUCAACUUUAAAUAUAAC